AAGUCGUAACAAGGUUUCCGUAGGUGAACCUGCGGAAGGAUCAUUAAAAAAAAAUGUGAACAACACUUUAACAAUGUGAACUUGGAUGUCCCCUUCUUUAGAGGGGGGCAAUAAUACUUUUUUAUAUAUAUAUAGCAGAGUCAAAAAAAAAAAAUAUAAUGACAACUUUUAGCAACGGAUCUCUAGGUUCUC
rnacentral:misc_RNA from 1 species